CAGUCGCCGCGGUAAUACGAAGGGUGCAAGCGUUACUCGGAAUUACUGGGCGUAAAGCGUGCGUAGGUGGUGGUUUAAGUCCGUUGUGAAAGCCCUGGGCUCAACCUGGGAAUUGCAGUGGAUACUGGGUCACUAGAGUGUGGUAGAGGAUAGUGGAAUUUCCGGUGUAGCAGUGAAAUGCGUAGAGAUCGGAAGGAACAUCUGUGGCGAAGGCGACUAUCUGGGCCAAUACUGACGCUCAUGCACGAAAGCGUGGGGAGCAAACAGGAUUAGAUACCCCCGUAGUCCCUGUCUCUUAUAC
rnacentral:rRNA from 1 species